CGAGUGCCUCAAGCGUUAUCCGGAAUUAUUGGGCGUAAAGGGUGUGUAGGCGGUCUUGCUAGUCUUGUGUUAAAACCAGAAGCUCAACUUCUGAUAUGCAUAGGAAACGGCAAAACUAGAGUGCGCGAGAGGUUUGCGGAACUCAUGGUGUAGGGGUGAAAUCCGUUGAUAUCAUGGGGAACACCAAAUGCGAAGGCAGCAAACUGGCGCGUCACUGACGCUGAAACACGAAAGCGUGGGUAGCGAAUGGGAUUAGAUACCCCAGUAGUCCACGCCCUAAACGAUGAUCACUUGUUUUUCGGAGUAUCGACCCUCUGAGGGACGAAGCUAACGCGAUAAGUGAUCCGCCUGGGUAGUACGGCCGCAAGGCUA
rnacentral:rRNA from 1 species